UACGUAGGUGGCAAGCGUUGUCCGGAUUUACUGGGCGUAAAGAGCGCGCAGGCGGUCGGCCAAGUCGGGUGUGAAAGCCCCCGGCUCAACUGGGGAGGGUCAUUCGAUACUGGUCAACUCGAAGGCAGGAGAGGGAAGCGGAAUUCCCGGUGUAGUGGUGAAAUGCGUAGAUAUCGGGAGGAACACCGGUGGCGAAGGCGGCGACCUGGGUCGAUACUGACGCUGAGGUGCGAAAGCGUGGGGAGCAAACAGG
rnacentral:rRNA from 1 species